UUAAAGAAGAUUUUGAAGGAUUAUUUAAAACAUAUCCUGAAGGAACAUCGUUGCAGGAUAUAAAACCACCAACUGUGGCACCAUGCAUCAUAAUCAUAAAUGACGCAGCAUGUCGAAUGUUUUAUUUA